UUACCGAAGCUGUGGAUUGUCCUUUGGACAAUGGUAGGAGAGCGUUCUAAGGGCGUUGAAGCAUGAUCGUAAGGACAUGUGGAGCGCUUAGAAGUGAGAAUGCCGGUGUGAGUAGCGAAAGACGGGUGAGAAUCCCGUCCACCGAUUGACUAAGGUUUCCAGAGGAAGGCUCGUCCGCUCUGGGUUAGUCGGGUCCUAAGCUGAGGCCGACAGGCGUAGGCGAUGGAUAACAGGUUGAUAUUCCUGUACCACCUAUAAUCGUUUUAAUCGAUGGGGGGACGCAGUAGGAUAGGCGAAGCGUGCGAUUGGAUUGCACGUCUAAGCAGUAAGGCUGAGUAUUAGGCAAAUCCGGUACUCGUUAAGGCUGAGCUGUGAUGGGGAGAAGACAUUGUGUCUUCGAGUCGUUGAUUUCACACUGCCGAGAAAAGCCUCUAGAUAGAAAAUAGGUGCCCGUACCGCAAACCGACACAGGUAGUCAAGAUGAGAAUUCUAAGGUGAGCGAGCGAACUCUCGUUAAGGAACUCGGCAAAAUGACCCCGUAACUUCGGGAGAAGGGGUGCUCUUUAGGGUUAACGCCCAGAAGAGCCGCAGUGAAUAGGCCCAAGCGACUGUUUAUCAAAAACACAGGUCUCUGCUAAACCGUAAGGUGAUGUAUAGGGGCUGACGCCUGCCCGGUGCUGGAAGGUUAAGAGGAGUGGUUAGCUUCUGCGAAGCUACGAAUCGAAGCCCCAGUAAACGGCGGCCGUAACUAUAACGGUCCUAAGGUAGCGAAAUUCCUUGUCGGGUAAGUUCCGACCCGCACGAAAGGCGUAACGAUUUGGGCACUGUCUCAACGAGAGACUCGGUGAAAUCAUAGUACCUGUGAAGAUGCAGGUUACCCGCGACAGGACGGAAAGACCCCGUGGAGCUUUACUGUAGCCUGAUAUUGAAAUUCGGCACAGCUUGUACAGGAUAGGUAGGAGCCUUUGAAACGUGAGCGCUAGCUUACGUGGAGGCGCUGGUGGGAUACUACCCUAGCUGUGUUGGCUUUCUAACCCGCACCACUUAUCGUGGUGGGAGACAGUGUCAGGCGGGCAGUUUGACUGGGGCGGUCGCCUCCUAAAAGGUAACGGAGGCGCUCAAAGGUUCCCUCAGAAUGGUUGGAAAUCAUUCAUAGAGUGUAAAGGCAUAAGGGAGCUUGACUGCGAGACCUACAAGUCGAGCAGGGUCGAAAGACGGACUUAGUGAUCCGGUGGUUCCGCAUGGAAGGGCCAUCGCUCAACGGAUAAAAGCUACCCCGGGGAUAACAGGCUUAUCUCCCCCAAGAGUUCACAUCGACGGGGAGGUUUGGCACCUCGAUGUCGGCUCAUCGCAUCCUGGGGCUGUAGUCGGUCCCAAGGGUUGGGCUGUUCGCCCAUUAAAGCGGUACGCGAGCUGGGUUCAGAACGUCGUGAGACAGUUCGGUCCCUAUCCGUCGUGGGCGUAGGAAAUUUGAGAGGAGCUGUCCUUAGUACGAGAGGACCGGGAUGGACAUACCUCUGGUGUACCAGUUGUCGUGCCAACGGCAUAGCUGGGUAGCUAUGUGUGGACGGGAUAAGUGCUGAAAGCAUCUAAGCAUGAAGCCCCCCUCAAGAUGAGAUUUCCCAACUUCGGUUAUAAGAUCCCUCAAAGAUGAUGAGGUUAAUAGGUUCGAGGUGGAAGCAUGGUGACAUGUGGAGCUGACGAAUACUAAUCGAUCGAAGACUUAAUCAA
rnacentral:rRNA from 2 species